rnacentral:rRNA from 1 species
ACAACGCUGGCGGCAUGCUAACACUGCAAGUCGAACGCUAUUUAUAGAGUGGCGCACGGGUGAGUAACGCGUGGGAACCUGCCUUUUAUCUGCGUGGAUAACGGUUGGAAACGACCGCUAAUACCGCAUACGCCCUACGUGGGGAAAGGUCCUGCCGGAGAAACGAGGGGCCCGCGCUCUGAUUAGUUAGUUGGUGGUGGUAACGCGCCUACCACAGGUCGACUGAUCAGAUAGCUGGUCUGAGCAGUGAUGAUCAGCCACACUGGGACUGAGACACGGCCCACGACUCCAUACGGGAGAGCAGCAGUGGGGAAUAUUUGGACAAUGGGGUGCAACCCUGAUCCAACAAUGCCGCGUGAGUGAUGAAGGCCUUAGCGGUUGUAAAGCACUUUCACUGGUGAAGAUGAUGACGGUCAACCAGACGAACGAACGCCCCGGCCUAACUUCGUGCCAGCCAGCCGCGGUAAUACCGAAGGGGGCGAGCGUUGUUCGGAAUUACUGGGCGUAAAGGGCGCGUAGUGCUGGU